AUUGAACGCUGGCGGCAUGCUUUACACAUGCAAGUCGAACGGUAACAGGCCGCAAGGUGCUGACGAGUGGCGAACGGGUGAGUAAUGCAUCGGAACGUGCCCAGUCGUGGGGGAUAACUGCUCGAAAGAGCAGCUAAUACCGCAUACGAUCUAUGAAUGAAAGCGGGGGACCGUAAGGCCUCGCGCGAUUGGAGCGGCCGAUGUCAGAUUAGGUAGUUGGUGGGGUAAAGGCUCACCAAGCCAACGAUCUGUAGCUGGUCUGAGAGGACGACCAGCCACGCUGGGACUGAGACACGGCCCAGACUCCUACGGGAGGCAGCAGUGGGGAAUUUUGGACAAUGGGGGCAACCCUGAUCCAGCAAUGCCGCGUGCAGGAAGAAGGCCUUCGGGUUGUAAACUGCUUUUGUACGGAACGAAACGGUCUGGGUUAAUACCCUGGGCUAAUGACGGUACCGUAAGAAUAAGCACCGGCUAACUACGUGCCAGCCGCCGCAGUAAGAC
rnacentral:rRNA from 1 species